CAAAUUCUCUACUUGCUCUCUAUACAAAAGAGGAGUAUGUGCUUUGUGGAUCAGUAGGAGUAAUAAAGCUGCGUUGACUUCAAAUCAUGAUCCUCUCAUCAGCUCUACUCCUGCUGGCAGCAGCUUCAUCCUGUGGUGUUUACUGUGUUGAGCUCACUCAACCUCCAUCUAUGGUUGUGAAACCUCAAGAAUCAUUUUCCAUCUCCUGCAGGAUUUCAGUAUCAAGCUAUUGCAUUCACUGGAUACGUCAACCCACUGGAAAAGCAAUGGAAUGGCUGGGAUAUCUAUGCAGUGGUGGUGGCAAUAAUAUUAAAGACUCCAUAAAAAACAAGAUCAGUUUCACCCAGGACACAUCCAAAAACACAGUGUUUCUACAGGGAAAUAAUUUUCAGACUGAAGACACAGCUGUGUAUUACUGUGCAAGACAGACACAGUGACUAAACAAGACACAGCUCUGUACAAAAACC